CAGAGUUGCAAAACUCCCACAAACCAUUCGUGAAUCUACCUUCGUACCGGUUGCUUCGGCGGGCGGUCCGGAAGGCCCUCGGCCCCCGGAUCCUCGGUCUCCCGCUCGCGGGGCUGCCCGCCGGAGUGCAGAACCUAAACUCUUUGAUCAUUAGUGUCCUCUCUGAGUAAUUCUUUACUGAAUAAGUCA
rnacentral:misc_RNA from 1 species